rnacentral:rRNA from 1 species
GAUGAACGCUGGCGGCGUGCCUAAUACAUGCAAGUCGAGCGAACAGACGAGGAGCUUGCUCCUCUGACGUUAGCGGCGGACGGGUGAGUAACACGUGGUUAACCUACUUAUAAGACUGGGAUAACUUCGGGAAACCGGAGCUAUUACCGGUUAUUAUUUUGAACCGCAUGGUUCAUUAUUGAAAGACGGUUUUGCUGUCACUUAUAGAUGGAUCCGCGCCGCAUUAGCUAGUUGGUAAGGUAACGGCUUACCAAGGCAACGAUGCGUAGCCGACCUGAGAGGGUGAUCGGCCACACUGGAACUGAGACACGGUCCAGACUCCUACGGGAGGCAGCAGUAGGGAAUCUUCCGCAAUGGGCGAAAGCCUGACGGAGCAACGCCGCGUGAGUGAUGAAGGUCUUCGGAUCGUAAAACUCUGUUAUUAGGGAAGAACAAAUGUGUAAGUAACUAUGCACGUCUUGACGGUACCUAAUCAGAAAGCCACGGCUAACUACGUG